ACGUAUAUGGUGUAAAUAACACAUUAACUUUUCAUGUUAAAAAUAUGUUUAGGCAUUAUAUG
rnacentral:tRNA from 1 species